rnacentral:rRNA from 1 species
GACGAACGCUGGCGGCGUGCUUAACACAUGCAAGUCGAGCGGUAAGGCCCUUUCGGGGGUACACGAGCGGCGAACGGGUGAGUAACACGUGGGUGACCUGCCCUCAGCUCUGGGAUAAGCCUGGGAAACCGGGUCUAAUACUGGAUAUGACUCCAUGACGCAUGUUGUGGGGUGGAAAGCCUUGUGCGGCUGAGGAUGGGCCCGCGGCCUAUCAGCUUGUUGGUGGGGUGAUGGCCUACCAAGGCGACGACGGGUAGCCGGCCUGAGAGGGCGACCGGCCACACUGGGACUGAGACACGGCCCAGACUCCUACGGGAGGGCAGCAGUGGGGAAGUCUUGCGCAAUGGGCGAAAGCCUGACGCAGCGACGCCGCGUGAGGGAUGACGGCCUC